AUGGGUGGAUCCUGCAGGAGGUGUCCAUCAGAAAGUGGCUACGUACAGGCCACAGCUGACUCUCCAGUCUGAGCUGGAUCACCCAGUAAAAGGGAAAGUGUUGUGUCUUAGAAAUAUCAGGGUACUGAGUUCCCAUCAUGGCUCAGUGGUUAACGAAUCUGACUAGCAUCCAUGAGGAUGCAGGUUCAGUCCCUGGCCUUGCUCAGUGGGUUAGGGAUCUGGCGAUGCCAUGAGGUGGGGGGUAGUUCAAAUAUGUGGUUCAGAUCCUGUGUUGCUGUAGAUGGAGUAUAGGUCAGCAACUACAGCUCUGAUUUGACCCCUAGCCUGGGAACCUCCAUAUGCCACAAGUGUGGCCCUAAAAAGAAAAAAAAAAGGGAUAACUUUCAGUCGACUCAGCUAGCCUAAAGCCCACAUUAUUGGAUGGGCCAUCGGGGUUCAGACAUACUUUAGGGUCUCCAGAUGUAGAAUUCUGAGCAAGCAGGCAGCUGCUUGGAGUAUUGGGCGUGUAGUUUUCCAGAGUCCUGGGGGUUGGCCUCUGGAGAGCUGGGCUGCUGGUCAAUGAAAAGUGAGUGUAAAAGCCUACAUCUUUUGGAGGGAGGCUGUCUUCAUGCAGGAGCCCUCUCUCUUAAGGGUGUUCUGCCAUGUUCCUUAGUUUUUUCACCAUCUGAGCCUCUCCUGCCUUUCAAGCACCACUGAGGGAACGUCUCACCUGAAGCAGGUGACACAGUAGAAUGACUGGUGAAGCAGGGUGUUCUGGGAAGUAAUGUAAAGCCAUUGCCUGACUUGAAAUGUGUUCCCCCAAUGGCUUAAAGGGAGUGCUGACAGACUGGGAGCAGAGAGGCACAUGGAAGACUUAGUGAAAUACCACCCUCCAUAAGGCUGUAGAUGAUUCUGAGAGAGUGAAGCAACAGGAGGACCAAGCUCCCAGGUGCUCAAGAGCAGUGCCAAUGGAACUGGGUCUGGUCAGGAGGCAGAAGUUUGGGAUGAGAAUAGCUGGGAGUUGGAAUAACCACUAGAGGUCAAGGAGCUCCAACAUAAUUAGAUGCUGCUUAGUGUUGGCCCUUCCAGGGUUAGAGAUUGGGUUGUAGGUGGUGCUGGUGGCACCCCAGGGACCUCCCAGUGAGGAAAGUUGAGUUACAGCUGCUUCAGACUCUCAGGUCCCAAACACAUCCCCUGGGGGUGGGUGGGUAGUUCUUCCAUCAUGACCAGGUGGUCAGUUCCAUAGGGAUCACGGAGCCCUAAGUACUGAUGAUUUGACCGUCUCUCUGGGGAGCAGGUGCAGUUGGACUGAUAGCCUUUGGUUUCUCCAGCAGUAUAACCCUGAAUCCACACGUACUUGGUUUGAGCCUUGGGCAUGUCUGAUUUGGAGAAUGGGGCUUUGGUGGGAGGUGGCACCUGGAAAGCAGUGCUUGAGGACAUGAAUGGAGAGUUGUAGAAGUGGCAUUUUUGGCUUCACAGGAUGUGAUCUUUCUUGGGUCUCAGUCUCAAAUUCCUCCCUAUGGUUCCUUUUUUUUUUUCCCCUAACUGAGCCAUGGCUUGCUAAAAGUAACGCAUGAAAAUGAACAAUGGCAAGGAAUAGGUUGCAUGUAUUCAGGCAGCCAGAUGUAUUUACAGGUGGUGAGCUGAACUGAAGUGGGAUCAGCUGGAUGACAUGGGGUAGUGGUGAUGGGCAGGGAGGAGGAGGGAGAGUCGCAGGAGACUUUGAGAGAGACCUCUGGCCCCUGUAAAGCACACAGUUGUACUUAGAAGGAGGGUAGGAGGGAGAUGCGCCUUCAGGUGAAUAAGGCGAGCGUGGUGCUAGUGUGGCUUUGGUCAGGAUACAGGAUGAAGGGCUCUGAAUUCUUAUUUGAUGAUUCAUCACCACAGGGCAAAGGAGCACUGGCAGAGCCCAGCAGCUGCUUGGCAUUGGCGAAUCCCAGCCCAGAGGUGGGGUUUGAGUUGGCAGAGGUGGAUCCCCCUGAGACACGUAUUGCAAGGAGGGCUAGGUUACAGUUUGCUGCUGACUCUCAAGUCUCAAUUGAUUCACCUGAUAGGAAGGACUUGUGCUGCCCUUUCCACCUUUCAGACAGCUCUGUAGCCAGAUGAUCCCCCAGGAAGUGUCCAUUAAAAGGUGGUCACAUACAGGCCACAGCUGACCCUCGAGUCUGAAUUAGAAUAUCCCGUAAAAGGGAAAGUGUUCUGCCUUCCAAAUAUCAGGGUCACCUUCAGUCGACCCAGCCAGCCCAAAGCCCACGUUGGAGGACAGGCCAUCAGGGCUCCUAUGGCCUUGGGGUUCCUCAGAAGUAGAACUCUGAGCAGGCAGGCAUGUGGCUGGAUUACUGGACAUGCAGAUUCCCAGAGUCCAGGGGUCUGGAGAGCUGGGCUGCUGGUCAUCACUGAAGAGCGAGUGUACAGCCGAUGUCUUGUGGCGGGCAGGCUGUCUUUAUGCAGGAGCCCUCUCCCAAGGGUGUUCUGCAAUGCGCCUUACUUUUUCUCCAUCUUACCCGAAGCCAGGUGACACAAAACAAAGGCUGGAGAUGUGGGGUGUUGUGGGGAAUAAUGCAAAGGCAGCUGCCUGACUCCAAGUGUGUUUCCUUGAUGGACUCAUAGGUGUGAUGACACACAGGGAGCCGGGAGGCAUAUGGAGGACUCAGAAUUACCACCUCCAUAAGGCCUUAGAUGAUUCUGAGAGAGUGAACCAGACAGGAGGACCAACGCUGGCUUAUAGGUACACAAAAACCAUGCCAGCAGAACCAAGUGUGGUCAGGAGGCAGAGUGUGGGACAAGAGUAGUAAUGGCCACUAGAGGAAGAGGAGCCCAAACAUACUGAGAUGCUGUUACGUGUUGGCAUCUCGAGCAUAGGAAAUGUGGUUGGAGUGGGCACUGGUGGCACCGGGAGGACGUGCCCAGUGAGGUCAGUUGAGUUACAUGUUGUUUCUGACUCUCGAGUCCCAAACACAUGUCCUGGGAGUGGGCACGUAGUUCCUGCUUCACAACUAGGGAUCAUUUCCAUAGGGAUUACGGAGCCCUAAGUACUGAUGAUUUGACAGGCUAUGGGGGGGGCGGGGUCUUACAGCCUCUGGGUUCUGCAGCAUGAAAACCCAGAAUUCACAGGUACUUGGUUUGAGCCUUGCAUAUGUCCCUUUACCAAAAUGGGGCUUGGUCAGAGGUGGCAUCUGGAAAGCAGCGCUUGAGGACCUGAAUGGAGUGUGUAGAAGUGGCAUCUUGGGCUGGCCGGGAUGUGCUCCUUCCUGGGAUUUAAGUCUCAAAUUAUUCCCUAGAGUUUCUUUUUUUUUUCUUUGUCUACCUGCCCCACUGCUUCCUGCAACUUAUUCCUGAGGAACUAACCAGAGUGUGUACUAGGUCACAUGUAUUAAUGCAGGCUUAUGGAUUUCCAGCUGUUGAGCUGACUUGAAGUGGAAUCAGCUGAUAAUGUAGGGCAUUGGGUUGGAUAGGCCGGAUGAUGGAGAGUCCCAGGAGACUUUGAGAGAGACUUCUGGCCUCUGUAAGGCACAAGGUGGAACUUAGGAUGAGAGUAGGAGGGAGUUCAGCCUUCAGCUGAAGGAGGAGGGUGCAGCGCAUCCACGGCUUUGGUCAGGAGGCAGGAGGAAGGGCUCUGAGUUGUUAUUUGAGGGGGUGGCCACCAGAGGGCGACAGAGCACUGACAGGGCCCAGCAGCUGCUUGGCAUUGGCAAAUCCCAGCCCAGAGGUGAGGCUGGAAUUGGGUGAAGUGGAUCCCCACGGGACAUGCCUUGGCAGGAGGGCUAGGUUACAGGUCUAAAUUAACUCACCUGAUAGGAAGGACUUGUCCUGCUCUUAUCAUCUGUGGGUCACUUUCAGAUAGCUAGUGAAGCCUAAAUUCCAGAUGAUUGGACAGGCCGUCUAGAGUUCUGAUGGCCUUCGGCUUCCGCAGAGGCUGACAUCUCAGCCAAAAAGCAUGAGACUGAGGACUAUGCUUUCAGUGCUCCCAAUCAGGCUUCUGCAGGGUUUGCCCUCAGGACAGGUGGGUGGGUGCUUGUGAAUUGAAUGCACUAAACCCGUGCUUCCUUGAUCAGCCCACUGGCUGCAUUCAUCCCAGAGAUGGGUCUCUUGAGGAUUCUCUGAAAAGUUUCUUUUCCUUUGUUCAGAGCCUCUCCCCUCCUCUAAUUUCCCCCCCCGAGAGGAAAAACAAACCUCUGGCCAAAACCCAGAAAUGAAGAAUGGGGAACAGGAUUCAUUGAAAUCCUGUCACCAGAUUUGGAUGGGUUCGACUCAAGGAUUUAGAGAGUGGGGAAGGAUUGGGAGGAGUGAGUGCCAUAGCUGACUUUGAGAGAAUGAUAAUGUCCCUAGAAAGAGCAGGAUUGUUCUUAGAGUGAGAGGAGGGAGUAAAUCAACUAUUUGGAGCACAAGCCAAGGGCAUUCUUUCCUGUUCAGGAAGCUGGAGGCAGGGCUGUGAGUUGUCAUUAGAGAGAAUGGCCACCAGAGGGCGCCAAAACACGUUUCAAGCCCAGCCGAGGCUUGGUAGUAUCACCUCCAGGUUAAAAGAUGGGUUUCAAGACGGGGAUGGGAGGAUCCCCCAGGAGAUGUCCUUCGAAAAGAGGUUGCGUACAGGCCUCAGGUGACUCCCGUCUGAACUGGCACACCCGGUAAAAGGGAACAUGUUCUGCCCUCCAAAUGUCAUGGUCAGGUUCAGUCGACUCAGCCAACCCAAAGCCCACAUCGUUGUAUGUGCCACUGGGGUCCACAGGGCCUUGGGGUUCUCCAGAAGUAGGAGUGCUAGCACGCAGGUGGCUGGCUGGGGUUUGGGGCCUGCAGUUUUCCAGGGUCCAGGGCUUGGCCUCUGGAGAGCUGGGCUGCUGGUCGUCAAUGAAGAGUGUGUGUAAAAGCUGACGUCUUGUGGUGGGCGGGCUGUCCUUAUGCAGGAGCCCUCUCUCUUGGGGGUGCGCUGCAUUGUUCCUUAGAUCUUCCUCCAUCUGGCCUCUCCUGCCUUUUGAGCAUCCCUGAGGGCACAUCUUACCUGAAUCCAGGUGACACAGAGUAAAGGCUGGUGAGGCGGGGCAGGGUGGGUGAAUCAGGAUGCCUGACUCGAAGUGUGUCCCCCUGAUGGACUCAAAGGAGGGCUGACACACAGGGAGCAGGGAGGCAUGUGGAGGACUUGGGGAAACACUGUCCUCCGCAGGCCUCAGAGUCUGAGAGAGAGACGGGAGGACCCCACCAGGCUCCCAGGUGCUUAAGGGCAGUGCCCGCGGAACCAGGUGGUGUCAGGAGACAGAGGUGUGGGACGAGACUGGCCGGGAGUCGUGAUGGCCACUACAGGACGAGGAGCUUGACACACCCAGUGGCUUGGCAUGGGCGCGUCCCAGCGCAGAGGUGCGGUUCAAGCCGGUGGUUUGGGUCCCUCUGGGGUCUGCCUUGUGAGGGGGGCUAGGUUAUAGGUCACCUCUCACUCUCAGGUCUAAAUUAACUCACCUGAUAGGAAGGACCUUGUCAUCUCUGGGUCACUUUCAGACAGCUCAGGGAGCCUGAAGUCCACAUGACUGGACAUGCUGUCAAGAACUCUGACUGGGAGUUCCCGUCAUGGAGAACUAGGAACCAUGAGGUUUUGGGUUCAAUCCCUGGCCUUGCUUAGUGGGUUAAGGAUCCAG
rnacentral:lncRNA from 1 species